AUACGUAGGGUGCGAGCGUUGUCCGGAAUUACUGGGCGUAAAGAGCUCGUAGGUGGUUUGUCGCGUCGUCUGUGAAAUUCCGGGGCUUAACUCCGGGCGUGCAGGCGAUACGGGCAUAACUUGAGUACUGUAGGGGAGACUGGAAUUCCUGGUGUAGCGGUGAAAUGCGCAGAUAUCAGGAGGAACACCGGUGGCGAAGGGGGGUCUCUGGGCAGUAACUGACGCUGAGGAGCGAAAGCAUGGGUAGCGAACAGGAUUAGAUACCCUGGUAGUCCAUGCCGUAAACGGUGGGCGCUAGGUGUAGGGGUCUUCCACGACUUCUGUGCCGUAGCUAACGCAUUAAGCGCCCCGCCUGGGGAGUACGGCCGCAAGGUUGAAACUCAAAGGAAUUGACGGGG
rnacentral:rRNA from 1 species